GAUGAACGCUGGCGGCGUGCCUAAUACAUGCAAGUCGAACGAAGCACUUCGGUGCUUAGUGGCGAACGGGUGAGUAACACGUAGGUAACCUGCCCUCAAGACGAGGAUAACCGUUGGAAACGAUGGCUAAGACUGGAUAGGAACCGAGGAGGCAUCUUCUUGGUUUUAAAGGACCUGGCAACAGGUACGCUUGAGGAGGGGCCUGCGGCGCAUUAGUUAGUUGGCGGGGUGAAGGCCCACCAAGACGAUGAUGCGUAGCCGGACUGAGAGGUUGAACGGCCACAUUGGGACUGAGAGACGGCCCAAACUCCUACGGGAGGCAGCAGUAGGGAAUUUUCGGCAAUGGGGGCAACCCUGACCGAGCAACGCCGCGUGAACGACGAAGUACUUCGGUAUGUAAAGUUCUUUUAUCAGGGAAGAAUGGCUUACGGAAAAGUGAGCGUGACGGUACCUGAUGAAUAAGCCCCGGCUAACUAUGUGCCAGCAGCCGCGGUAAUACAUAGGGGGCAAGCGUUAUCCGGAAUUAUUGGGCGUAAAGGGUGCGUAGGUGGCCGUUUAAGUCUUUGGUGUAAGUGCAAGGCUCAACCUUGUGAUGCUAAAGAAACUGAAUGGCUUGAGUGUGGUAGAGGCAAGUGGAAUUCCAUGUGUAGCGGUAAAAUGCGUAAAUAUAUGGAGGAACACCGGUGGCGAAAGCGGCUUGCUGGGCCACAACUGACACUGAGGCACGAAAGCGUGGGGAGCAAACA
rnacentral:rRNA from 1 species